rnacentral:rRNA from 1 species
AACGAACGUUGGCGGCGUGGAUUAGGCMUGCMAGUCGAACGAAGUCAGUYUYGUAGCAAUACAGAGCUGGCGGAAGGUSGCGAAASGSGCAGYAAUSCAUGGUAACCUACCUUGGGGAUGGGCAUAGCCGUUCYAACGAGCGGGUAAUUCCCAGAGAUUCGCGGGAGGGCCUCCUCCUACCGGGAAAUGAAUUUCGCCUCGAGAGGGGCCCAUGUGCUAUAGCUAGUUGGUAGGGUAACGGCCUACCAAGGCUAAGAUGGCUAGCGGGUGUGAGAGCACACCCGCGCCACUGGCACUGAGACACUGGCCAGACACCUACGGGUGGCUGCAGUCGAGGACUUCGUCAAUSGGCGCAAGCCUMHACGAGCGACGCCCGUGCGCGAUGAAGGCUUCGGGUGUAAAGCGCGAAAGUGGGGAUAAAACCGUAAGGUUGAUAGAUCCACAGUAAGGACGGGCAAGUUCGUGCCAGCAGCCGCGGUAAGACGAACUGUCCUAACGUUGUUCGGAAUCACUGGCUUAAAGGGCNCGUAGGCGGUCCGACAAGUCAGGGSUCGKCKAUCCUGCAGCUUAACUGAGAAGUGCCUUUGAUACUGUCGGUCUCGAGGGAGAUAGGGGUGUGCNGC